rnacentral:rRNA from 1 species
AAGUCGAGGGGCAGCGGGGAGUAGCAAUACUCCGCCGGCGACCGGCGCACGGGUGAGUAACACGUAUCCAACCUGCCGUCUACUCUUGGACAGCCUUCUGAAAGGGAGAUUAAUACAAGAUGUUAUCAUGAGUAAGCAUUUUCGCAUGAUUAAAGGUAUUCCGGUAGACGAUGGGGAUGCGUUCCAUUAGAUAGUAGGCGGGGUAACGGCCCACCUAGUCUUCGAUGGAUAGGGGUUCUGAGAGGAAGGUCCCCACAUUGGAACUGAGACACGGUCCAAACUCC